UAGAGAGUGGUGUAAUGGGAGCACGAAGGGUUUUGAUCUCUUAAGUAGAGGUUCAAAUCCUCUUUUUCUAA
ensembl:Mt_tRNA